rnacentral:rRNA from 1 species
GAUAGCAGUUGGAAACGACUGGUAAUACCGCAUAAGCGCACAGCUUCGCAUGAAGCGGUGUGAAAAACUCCGGUGGUGUGAGAUGGACCCGCGUCUGAUUAGGUAGUUGGUGAGGUAACGGCCCACCAAGCCGACGAUCAGUAGCCGACCUGAGAGGGUGACCGGCCACAUUGGGACUGAGACACGGCCCAGACUCCUACGGGAGGCAGCAGUGGGGAAUAUUGCACAAUGGAGGAAACUCUGAUGCAGCGACGCCGCGUGAGUGAAGAAGUAUUUCGGUAUGUAAAGCUCUAUCAGCAGGUAAUACAGUGACGGUACCUGACUAAGAAGCUCCGGCUAAAUACGUGCCAGCAGCCGCGGUAAUACGUAUGGAGCAAGCGUUAUCCGGAUUUACUGGGUGUAAAGGGAGUGUAGGUGGUAUCACAAGUCAGAAGUGAAAGCCCGGGGCUCAACCCCGGGACUGCUUUUGAAACUGUGGAACUGGAGUGCAGGAGAGGUAAGUGGAAUUCCUAGUGUAGCGGUGAAAUGCGUAGAUAUUAGGAGGAACACCAGUGGCGAAGGCGGCUUACUGGACUGUAACUGACACUGAGGCUCGAAAGCG